UACGUAGGGGGCAAGCGUUGUCCGGAUUUAUUGGGCGUAAAGAGCGUGUAGGCGGCCAUACAGGUCAGCUGUGAAAACUCGAGGCUCAACCUCGAGACGUCGGUUGAAACCGUAUGGCUAGAGUCCGGAAGAGGAGAGUGGAAUUCCCGGUGUAGCGGUGAAAUGCGCAGAUAUCGGGAAGAACACCCGUGGCGAAGGCGGCUCUCUGGGACGGUACUGACGCUGAGA
rnacentral:rRNA from 1 species